CCUACGGGAGGCAGCAGUGGGGAAUUUUGGACAAUGGGCGCAAGCCUGAUCCAGCAAUGCCGCGUGAGUGAAGAAGGCCUUCGGGUUGUAAAGCUCUUUUGUCAGGGAAGAAAAGGGUCUGGCUAAUAUCUAGGCCUCAUGACGGUACCUGAAGAAUAAGCACCGGCUAACUACGUGCCAGCAGCCGCGGUAAUACGUAGGGUGCAAGCGUUAAUCGGAAUUACUGGGCGUAAAGCGUGCGCAGGCGGUUUUGUAAGACUGUCGUGAAAUCCCCGGGCUCAACCUGGGAAUGGCGAUGGUGACUGCAAGGCUAGAGUUUGGCAGAGGGGGGUAGAAUUCCACGUGUAGCAGUGAAAUGCGUAGAUAUGUGGAGGAACACCGAUGGCGAAGGCAGCCCCCUGGGUCAAAACUGACGCUCAUGCACGAAAGCGUGGGGAGCAAACAGGAUUAGAUACCCUGGUAGUCCACGCCCUAAACGAUGUCUACUAGUUGUCGGGUCUUAAUUGACUUGGUAACGCAGCUAACGCGUGAAGUAGACCGCCUGGGGAGUACGGUCGCAAGAUUAAAACUUAAGGAAUUGACG
rnacentral:rRNA from 1 species